UGAUCUCGUGAUCUGCCUGCCUCAGCCUCCCAAAGAUGUAAUUCUUAUCUUUACUCCUCUACAGUAAGAUGUGUUUUUUCCUUCUGGCUUUUUCAGGAUUUUUCUUUAUCUUUUAUUUUCUGUAGUUUGAAAAUGAGAUGCCUACGUGUAGUUUUUUUAGCAUUUAUUCUACUUGGUGUUCUCUAAGCUUCCUGGGUCUGUGGUUUGGUGACCAACAUUAAUUUGGGGAAAUCCUCAAUCAUUAUUAUUUCAAAUAUUUCAUUUGUUCCUUUUUCUUUCUUCUCCUAGAAUUCCCAUUGCACAUGUUAUACCUUUCGUAGUUUUUCUGUAGUUCUUGGUUAUUCUCUGUUUUUCGCCUUUCAGUCUUUUUUCUUCUUGCUUUUCAGUUUUGGCUGUUUUUAUGUGAUAUCCUCAAGCUCAGAGAUUCUUUCCUCAGGCAUGUCCAGUCUACCAGUAGGCCCAUCAAAGGCAUUCUUCAUUUCUGUUGCAGUGUUUUUGAUCCCUAGCAUUUCUAUUCGGUUCUUAGAAGGUUAAUCUCUCGCUUACACUGCCCAUCUGUUCUUGUAUGCUGUCUACUUUCCAUUAGAGCCUUUAGCAUCUGUGGGAUGUGUGUGUGUGUGUGUGUGUGUGUAUGUUUUGUCCAUGGUUCCUGGCUCAUAACUCCCAUAAACCCUAGUUACAGUAAACAGAAUCUCUCUUUCUUACCUUCUCCAGCCUCCUUUCCUCUGCCCAAGGCAGGACUCUAAUCUGAUUGUGGGUCAUAAAAGGUCCUCAUUCCAGAGGGGGACCUGCCCUAUAUACUGGAAGAAGGAAUGCUACACAGAAUGGUCAGAAAGAAUCUGGACAGGCCUUGCUGGGUUUAGAUCAUACCCUUUUUGUACAAUCACGUUUUGACAUGGUUGUCCAUGCUUCUAUUCAUAUCAUGCCUAUCGAAUGAAGUCUCCACAAAAAAGCCCAAGAGGACAGGACUGGGGGCUUCUAGGGAGCUGAACACAUGGAGGGUAACAAGGAAGGUGAACAAGAAUUCAUCCAUGUGCUGGAAGCUAGGUGCAGUAGCACACACUUGUAAUCCCAGCGACCUCAGGAAGCAGAGGUGGGAGGAUCACUGGAGCCCAGGAAUCUGAAGCUGCAAUGAACUAUGAUUGUGUACUGCACUCCAGCCUGGGCAAUACAGCAAGACCCUGUCUUAAAAAAAAGUCUACAUGCUGGGAGGGUGGUGCACCCCAAUUCCACAAGGACAGAAGUUCCUGUGCUUGGGACUCUUUCAGACCUCAC
rnacentral:lncRNA from 10 species